rnacentral:misc_RNA from 1 species
UCCUGAACGUAAGGUGUCAAGAGAGAGAGCUGCAGAGCCCAUCCGAAUUGUAUUCCACCCGCGACUGAAGUCACACGUAGUAGUUGACGCAAGGGGACUCUGCGGACCACCGGUGGCCGAGCCCUUGCUCGGUGUGACUCCGCCUGUGGGAUCGCCAUCACCUUCUCGAAAGAAACAAGCACAAGCACCAAAACUCACUAAUCUAUAGAUUAUAUAGCAACUGUUUCUGUGUUGACGCGAG